GACGAACGCUGGCGGCGUGCUUAACACAUGCAAGUCGAGCGGUAAGGCCCUUUCGGGGUACGACGAGCGGCGAACGGGUAGGAGUAACAACGUGGGUGGACCUCGCCCUCCAGCUCUGGGAGUAAGACCCGGGAAACCGUAGGUCGUAAUAACCGGACGUAUGACUCCAUGACGCAUGUUGUGGGGUGGAAAGACCUUGUGCGGCUGAGGA
rnacentral:rRNA from 1 species